UACGGAGGGUGCAAGCGUUGUCCGGAAUCACUGGGCGUAAAGGGCGCGUAGGCGGCUCAUGAAGGCUGUGGUGAAAGUCCGGGGCUCAACCUCGGAUCGGCCGUGGCGACUCGUGGGCUGGAGCACUGUAGAGGCGGGUGGAAUUCCGGGUGUAGCGGUGGAAUGCGUAGAGAUCAGGAGGAACACCCGUGGCGAAGGCGGCUCCCUGGUCCGUUACUGACGCUGAGACGCGAAAGCGCGGGGAGCGAACGGG
rnacentral:rRNA from 1 species